rnacentral:rRNA from 1 species
ACAUCCAAGGAAGGCAGCAGGCGCGCAAAUUACCCACUCCCGGCACGGGGAGGUAGUGACGAAAAAUAACAAUACGGGACUCUUUUGAGACCCCGUAAUUGGAAUGAGUACACUCUAAAUCCUUUAACGAGGAUCUAUUGGAGGGCAAGUCUGGUGCCAGCAGCCGCGGUAAUUCCAGCUCCAAUAGCGUAUAUUAAAGUUGUUGCGGUUAAAAAGCUCGUAGUUGGAUCUCAGUUCCAGACGGGCGGUCCGCCUAACGGUGGUUACUGCCUGUUCUGAACAGCCAGCCGGUUUCCCUAGAUGAUCUUCACCGGUUGUCUUGGGUGACCGGCACGUUUACUUUGAAAAAAUUAGAGUGCUCAAAGCAGGCGUGUAGCCUGAAUAAUGGUGCAUGGAAUAAUGGAAUAGGACUUCGUUUCUAUUUUGUUGGUUUUCGGAACACGAGGUAAUGAUUAAGAGGGACAGACGGGGGCAUUCGUAUUGCGACGCUAGAGGUGAAAUUCUUGGACCGUCGCAAGACGAACUACUGCGAAAGCAUUUGCCAAGUAUGUUUUCAUUAAUCAAGAACGAAAGUUAGAGGUUCGAAGGCGAUCAGAUACCGCCCUAGUUCUAACCAU